UACGAAGGGGGCUAGCGUUGUUCGGAAUUACUGGGCGUAAAGCGCACGUAGGCGGCUCUUUAAGUCGGGGGUGAAAUCCUGGAGCUCAACUCCAGAACUGCCUUCGAUACUGAAGAGCUUGAGUCCGGGAGAGGUGAGUGGAACUGCGAGUGUAGAGGUGAAAUUCGUAGAUAUUCGCAAGAACACCAGUGGCGAAGGCGGCUCACUGGCCCGGUACUGACGCUGAGGUGCGAAAGCGUGGGGAGCAAACAGG
rnacentral:rRNA from 1 species